rnacentral:rRNA from 1 species
UACGUAGGGUGCGAGCGUUAAUCGGAAUUACUGGGCGUAAAGCGUGCGCAGGCGGUUAUGUAAGACAGGUGUGAAAUCCCCGGGCUUAACCUGGGAACUGCACUUGUGACUGCAUAGCUAGAGUACGGUAGAGGGGGAUGGAAUUCCGCGUGUAGCAGUGAAAUGCGUAGAUAUGCGGAGGAACACCGAUGGCGAAGGCAAUCCCCUGGACCUGUACUGACGCUCAUGCACGAAAGCGUGGGGAGCAAACAGG